AGCCCGUUCGCCAAGCGGUAAGGCACAGGACUUUGACUCCUGCAUUUCAGUUGUUCGAAUCAACUACGGGCUG
rnacentral:tRNA from 1 species